rnacentral:tRNA from 1 species
GGGCCCAUAGCUUAGCCUGGAAGAGCACCCGGCUCUUAACCGGGGGGUCGGGGGUUCAAAUCCCUCUGGGCCCA